UUUGAUUUAGGAUUUAGGAUUUGAUUAGGGUUUGAUUUAGGGUUUGGGAUUUGGUUAGGAUUUAAUUUAGGAUUUAGGAUUUAGUUACGGUUUGAUUUAGGAUUUAGGAUUUUAUUAGGAUUUAAGAUUCAAUUAGUUUUGGCCUAAAGUUUGAAUGAAGUUCAAUAGGAUUUUAACUAGAAUUAAAUUAAGACUGAAUUGAGAUGUAUUUGAGUGAUAUUUUUGAUCCUUCUAAUAUUUCUUUAAGAAUUCUUAUUGUUUGUUUGAAAUUUCUUUGAGUUUUUUUUGAAUUUGAUUAAGCUUGCUUAGUAUUAUUAUGGUCUAAUUAGAGUAUUAUUAAUAUUCUAUUAGAAUUAGGAUUUUAUUAUUGUAAUUUCUAUUCUUUCUUCCACAGUCAGGUGCCCAGAGCAUUCUCAAGCGAGACUUCACAUAUUACGACAACGUGAAUAAUGACCAAAUAAUAAGAUGGUCUUCUAUUAAGUUAGAU
rnacentral:lncRNA from 1 species